CGUACGGGAGGCAGCAGUAGGGAAUCCGCCCAAUGGGGGCAACCCGGAAGCAGCAACGCCGCCUGAGUGAGGAAGGUCUUCGGAUUGUAAAACUCUUGUGCUAGGGAAAAAUGAUCUAGUGGCUAAUAUCCAUAGAAGUGAUGUACCUCAG
rnacentral:rRNA from 1 species